UGUGUGAUAGUCCGUAAGUGGAAGCGGGCCGGUCUGUAAAACCGGAGCCUCAGGGCCUUGGAAGUUCGAUUCUUCCUCACACAA
rnacentral:tRNA from 1 species